GAGAGAGAGACUGACUGACUGCUCUACAGCCUUAGCUAACAGGGAGCUGGCUUUUAGUUCAUGCUGUAAAGGCUCAUGCACCAAGCUUCAGAGAUCC